GAUGAACGCUAGCUACAGGCUUAACACAUGCAAGUCGAGGGGAAACGACAUCGAAAGCUUGCUUUUGAUGGGCGUCGACCGGCGCACGGGUGAGUAACGCGUAUCCAACCUGCCCACCACUUGGGGAUAACCUUGCGAAAGUAAGACUAAUACCCAAUGAUAUCCCACGAAGACAUCUGAAUGGGAUUAAAGAUUUAUCGGUGAUGGAUGGGGAUGCGUCUGAUUAGCUUGUUGGCGGGGUAACGGCCCACCAAGGCAACGAUCAGUAGGGGUUCUGAGAGGAAGGUCCCCCACAUUGGAACUGAGACACGGUCCAAACUCCUACGGGAGGCAGCAGUGAGGAAUAUUGGUCAAUGGGCGAGAGCCUGAACCAGCCAAGUAGCGUGCAGGAAGACGGUCCUAUGGGUUGUAAACUGCUUUUAUAAGGGAAUAAAGUGGGUCACGUGUGACUUUUUGCAUGUACCUUAUGAAUAAGGACCGGCUAAUUCCGUG
rnacentral:rRNA from 1 species